UCGGGGAGCAGAGCUGUGGAGCUGUGGAGGUGACGGCUGUCUGAGGCGGAGCGUCUGCCUCUGCUUUUCAGGCCUGUUUCUGCUGACUGCUGCAGGUGUGUGUGUGCUGCUGCUGUCUGCUCUGACCGUUUCUACAGGUGAGUUGAAGGUAACGGGAACUCUGAGGUGAUGUAGGUG